rnacentral:tRNA from 1 species
UUUACUUUUAUUAGAAAUUUA